rnacentral:sRNA from 1 species
UUAAAUUAAAGUAUUCAGUUUUCAAUCGACAUUCAGAACGAAGUGUACGUUACGUGUGCUCAAAUUUAAGCCAAAUUUUCCGUUUACAUCUCGGGAAUUGGAGUUUUAUUAAAAAAUAUGCAGCGGUUUAUAACGUUCGUUGUUGGUGGAAUCGUCGGUUUCCUCGUCGCUAAGAAUACCCGCUAAAUACAAUCAUGGCCUAUGUAAUAUGCUUUGGGAUGGGCAUGGUUUUUGGCAUGUUCGUAUGCCGCCGUUGUGAACCCUGAUGAUCAUUUAACAG